rnacentral:rRNA from 1 species
GAUGAACGCUGGCGGCGUGCCUAAUACAUGCAAGUCGAACGCUGAAGGAGGAGCUUGCUCUUCUGGAUGAGUUGCGAACGGGUGAGUAACGCGUAGGUAACCUGCCUGGUAGCGGGGGAUAACUAUUGGAAACGAUAGCUAAUACCGCAUGACAACAGUUAUUGCAUGAUAACUGUUUAAAAGGGGCAACUGCUCCACUACCAGAUGGACCUGCGUUGUAUUAGCUAGUUGGUGAGGUAACGGCUCACCAAGGCGACGAUACAUAGCCGACCUGAGAGGGGGAUCGGCCACACUGGGACUGAGACACGGCCCAGACUCCUACGGGAGGCAGCAGUAGGGAAUCUUCGGCAAUGGACGGAAGUCUGACCGGGCAACGCCGCGGGAGGGAAGAAGGGUUUCGGAUCGUAAAGCUCUGUUGUAAGAGAAGAACGAGUGUGAGAGUGGAAAGUUCACACUGUGACGGUAGCUUACCAGAAAGGGACGGCUAACUACGUG